rnacentral:lncRNA from 1 species
AAGAAAUUGUAUAUUCAUUGGUUAUAUAUUUAUUGACUGCCUCCUGAGAUAAGCAUUAUUCUGAGUAAAGUGGAUAUAGAACAGAAUAAUAUAGACCAAAAGAAGAAGAAGAAGAUGAAGAAGAAGAAGAAGAAGAAGAAGAAGAAAAGAAAAAAUGAAAGAAAUAAAACUCUGCUCUUGUGGAUAUUAUACUUCAGUGAGAAGUAAAAAUAAUGAUAAAGCAAAUUAUAUACUCUUAAAAUAUAAUAAAUGAGAAAAAGUACAAUGGAAUAAUGAAGAUCCAAAACCAUAGUAGAAAUGGAAAGUUGGAAAUUUUAAAGAGCUUUAAUUUUGUUCAGCAAAUAUAUUUAGUUUUCCAUUCCCAGGAUUAUGCUAGGAUUAUAAUUCUCUACUAUAUUAAAUUUAAGUAUAGUCAUAGACUUGCUUUGGCCAAUAAUAUGUGAAUAGAAAUGAUGUCUCCAUAGAAGCUUUAAGAACAGUGAAUGAUUCCCCAUGUGACCUUCCCACUGCUACAGCUCUUAUGGAAGAACAUACCCCAAGUAAACUUCAGGCAGAAUCCUUGAAUAGUGAUGAUGAACAGAAGCCCCUGCUAACCUGUGCAGUGUGAGCCACAUGGUGAAGGAGCUAAACAGAUCAGGGGAUUGUUUUUUGCUGCAGCAUAAUCUUGCCUAUAUUAACUCACGCAAGUUGUUGGAGCAGACAUCACUGAGGUAACAGAUGAAGGUGGCUUGAACCUGAGCGGCAGUAGUAGAACAGAUAAGCUAUCAUAAGAAAUUGGAUAUAUUUGACAUUUAGAGUUAAGGGUUUUUUUGUUUUUGUUUUAUAUAUUUCUUUUUUUAGUUGUAGUUGGACACAAUACCUUUAUUUUAUUUAUUUAUUUUUAUGUGGUGCUGAGAAUCAAACCCAGCGCCUCACACAAGCUAGGCGAGCGCUCUACCGCUGAGCGACAACCCCAGCCCCUAGAGUUAAAUUUUAUAUGACUAAAAAUGUGAGAACUGUCACAGCAGACCAUAUUGGUUCUAAUAGUGUAUUAAAGAAUCUCGUGUAAAAAGAAAAAAAAAAAAAACUCUAGGGUUGAGGAUGUAGCUCAGUUGGAAGAGUGCUUACCUUGCAUGCACAAGGCCCUGGGUUCAAUCCACAGCCUCACAAAACCAAAAAACAAAACAAAACAAAAACUCUAGAGAAAACACUUAUAUUCAGGUAACAGUCUGGGAGAAAAUGAUCUAUCUAGUAGGUCUACAACAGCAUAAGCAACCUAUUAAAUAUCAAAAGUUAAAAAGAGAUUUCUCUGUUUUCCUACCUUGUUUUCCUACUUUGUAUAGUAGAGCUUUAUUGCCAUCUAGUGCUAAAAAAGAAAAUAAACGUGGAGAAAAGGCUAACGAGCACACAUUUUCAAAUUUGAGAUUCUCUUUGUGUCAUAAGCUACUGUGUUAAAAACUUCUGAUUAGGCGAUACCAUGAGUAUACCAUAUCAGAAGAGAUAAAUUUUACCAUUCCUUUUCAAAGUUAUCCACCAUUUUCAAGAAAGUCAGAUUCCUGAAACUAAGUUGUUUAGUACUAUGAUUAUUGUAGGUAUAAGUAUUAGUAGUAUUAGGGGCUGGAGGUAUAGCUCCGUGGUAGAGCUCGUGGCUUGGCAAGCAUGAGGCCCUGGGUUCAAUCCUUGACAUCAAAAAAAAAAAAAAAACUAUUGGUAGUGAUAUCAACACAAAUCUUUUAGUUCAUAUGAAAUGCAGUCCUUUUAAAAAAUAAUUUUCAUAAGCUCAAUAUGAAAUAGUAGAGAGAGGUACCUGCCUCAAAGGCUGCAAUAAUAAAAUGCUCAUCCGCACCAAGGAAGUCAUAGGUCCACUGAAGUUUGUACUGGUACAACUACUAUAAUUUAUUUAAUCAUCUUGAGGUACAAAUGUGAUUAUACCUUUCAUUUGACCUAAUUAAAUUAAGCCAUAUCCCAAUAUUUUAGGUAUAAAUCCUGAAACAUACUUUAAAAAUGCCUUGUGGAAAGCAGAGAACAUGAUCCAUCCACCAGCAGAUCUAAUUUUCAGCUACCAUUGUUGCUGACACAUUAUGAAAACUGGUAUUUCACACCCUGUGUGGUGGAGGGACACAAUGCCAGUGGUCCUCUGGAUUUGGGAGGCAACAUAUUCCUUAUGGGAUGUGCUGCUACCUGGUCCAUUUACUGACUGACCCUUUCCAUGGCCCAACAAUUCUUAAGUAAAUUUCCACAUGCUUUCAUUGAUCUCACUGAUCCAUAUUUGCUAGGUGCUAUAAUUCCUUUGUUGUGUGACCAUUUCCUCUCAUAUCUCUGUCAAGAUUAGCCUGGAGGCAAAGAGGUAUGGUAGGGUCCAGUUUUGAGAACAAACAUUAUAUUGUGAGACAUCAACUUCAAUUAAGGCCAUUACAUGGUCUCUAGGCAAGGCAAGGCUAAUCCCUUUUAGCCAGAGGGAAAGGGCUGCUAAACUAGCAAGGAUUUAGGAAGAAAGCUGUUCAAGAUCCUCUGAUUUUGGUGAACAAUCCAAUUCCAAAAUUCCAUGCUGAACAAUUUUUACAACAAACUAUCUAGCACAAGUCCUUUAUAAACAUCCCAAGCAAAGAUCAAAGUUCUGGCAUUUACUCAGGAGCAUGUCUAGAGACCCAAGGGUUAGAAAAAAGAGACAAGACAUGAUACAAUACCAUGCAUGCAUUAUUCCUUCCAGGGCCACAGACACAGCAGGUCAUUUUACAAACAUAUUCACUCUGCACACAAGACUUCUCCAGAAGAGUUCAGAAAGAUAUACUUUGUGAAUUUAUUUCCCAUUGUUCAUUGCUGAUUCCGCUGAAUUAAUUUCAUUUUUAAAAUGUCCAUUUAUUUAUUUAUUUAUUUGGUGCUGGGGAUUAAACCUAGGGCCUUGAGCAGGAUGGGCAAAUACUUUACCAAUGAGCUAAACCCCCAGUCCUCCCUGAACUUCCUGGCAGCCACUCAGGAAGCAUAUCCCAUAUCUUAUGGUAUGCCAUUUUAAUCUCAGUCUAGAGGGGUGACCUAGUAUGAGUAGGACACCAACCAAGAGAAAGAAGGCAGCAGUCAAGAGAAUCUGAGAAGAUGCAGAAGAUGGUACUAACAGUGGAUUUGGAAAUUCUUGUGUCCAAGGAAGGCUUCCAGGAAAAUGUUAUUGCUACUACUCACUCAUAACAAAGAGGACUAUGCUUUUUAGUUCUCCUUACCCAACAGUCUUGCAGCUCUGUAGUUGUAACAGCACUAAUGUUACUUGCCCUGUUUUCUUAAACUGGCACUUGUGGUUUCCCUGUAUCUGCCCACACCUUUAUAAAUAGUUCCUUU